rnacentral:rRNA from 1 species
UACGUAGGGGCCAAGCGUUGUCCGGAUUUAUUGGGCGUAAAGAGCUCGUAGGCGGUUCGGCAAGUCGAAUGUGAAAUCUCCACGCUCAACGUGGAGGGGCCAUUCGAUACUGCCGUGACUCGAGUCCGGUAGGGGAGUGUGGAAUUCCCGGUGUAGCGGUGAAAUGCGCAGAGAUCGGGAGGAACACCCGUAGCGAAGGCGGCACUCUGGGCCGGUACUGACGCUGAGGAGCGAAAGCGUGGGGAGCAAACAGG